rnacentral:rRNA from 1 species
AUUGAACGCUGGCGGCAGGCCUAACACAUGCAAGUCGAGCGGAUGAGAGGAGCUUGCUCUUCGAUUCAGCGGCGGACGGGUGAGUAAUGCCUAGGAAUCUGCCUAGUAGUGGGGGACAACGUUUCGAAAGGAACGCUAAUACCGCAUACGUCCUACGGGAGAAAGUGGGGGAUCUUCGGACCUCACGCUAUUAGAUGAGCCUAGGUCGGAUUAGCUAGUUGGUAGGGUAAAGGCCUACCAAGACGACGAUCCGUAACUGGUCUGAGAGGAUGAUCAGUCACACUGGAACUGAGACACGGUCCAGACUCCUACGGGAGGCAGCAGUGGGGCAUAUUGGACAAUGGGCGAAAGCCUGAUCCAGCCAUGCCGCGUGUGUGAAGAAGGCCUUCGGGUCGUAAAGCACUUUAAGUUGGGAGGAAGGGCUCAUAGCGAAUACCUGUGAGUUUUGACGUUACCAACAGAAUAAGCACCGGCUAACUUCGUGCCAGCCGCCGCGGUAAGAC